rnacentral:tRNA from 1 species
CCUGAUAUCUCAGUAGGUAAAGAAUUCGCCUGCAAUGCAGGAGACCCUGGUUCAAUUCCUGGGUCAGGA